GCCGGGCGUGGUGGCUCACGCCUGUAAUCCCAGCACUUUGGGAGGCCGAGGUGGGUGGAUCACCUGAGGUCGGGAGUUCGAGACCAGCCUGACCAACAUGGAGAAACCCCAUCUCUA
ensembl:misc_RNA Metazoa_SRP Metazoan signal recognition particle RNA